CUGUUGUCAUUAAGGAUAUUGCUGAGAGAGUUACAGGGAACAGAUUAUUGUUUGAGAUCAGAUGGUUAUGACUAAAAUAAGGUUUGCCUUUUUAAAAAAGAAUGGCACCAGUAACACUACUGCCUUCACAAUAUUAUGUCUAUGGAUGCUGCUUAGUGGGAUUGCAGCCCAAAGUACAAUACCAUUUACAACAGAAACCGCAGAAGGGACAAACACAACUGAGAAAACUACGACAGCUACAACUGUACCAACAACAAUAAAAGUAACAGAACUGACCAGUACUACUGAGUACACAACACAGGCUACAAAAAACAAACAGCUCACAACAAUAGAAUCAACUGCAUCUACAACAACUGUAGCCACAACCACUUCAAACCAGGAACCAAGUGCUACUGAUGAAACAACCACAGCUACAACUGUACGGACAACAGCGCAAACAACAGAACUAUCAACUACACAGGCUACAACGAGCACAGGACCAACAACAGUAGAAACAACUGCAUUUACAUCUACACCAGCUCCAACCACAACAAUUGAGGAAGCAACAACUAUAGAGGAAACAACCACAGCUACAACUAGAACUUUAACUACAGCAGUAACAACAGAAUUUACCAGUUUCACACAGGCUGCAACAAGCACAGGACCAACAACAGUAGAAACAACUGCAUC